UACGUAGGGUGCAAGCGUUGUCCGGAAUUAUUGGGCGUAAAGAGCUCGUAGGCGGUUCGUCGCGUCGGCUGUGAAAUCCCGAGGCUCAACCUCGGGUCUGCAGUCGAUACGGGCGGACUGGAGUUCGGCAGGGGAGACUGGAAUUCCUGGUGUAGCGGUGAAAUGCGCAGAUAUCGGGAAGAACACCCGUGGCGAAGGCGGCUCUCUGGGACGGUACUGACGCUGAGACGCGAAAGCGUGGGGAGCGAACAGG
rnacentral:rRNA from 1 species